GCACUGUGCAGUCGGCGAGUAGCGCUGUCGUUGACGACUAGGGGCGUCGCUGCCGGCGUCUGCUUGAUUCGUCGCACCGUUGCCGCUGUUCUUGAGGUCCAGCGGCCCGCAGUGCAGCCCAACGUUCUUCUCUUCUAAAGUAAAAUCAUGGAAGAAGAUGGAAAAAAAAAAUGUAGCCAAAGUUUACCUAGAAGUGGCAGAGCACCGGAUGAAUGAAAGCCAAAUCUCACCUUGGAGUUUCUGGCAGCAUCUUAGACUAAUUACUUCCCUUGGUUUGCUAGUGAUUAAGGGAGUGUUUUGGCUGAACUUGUAGGCUAGGAAGGCAAAGGGGCGAUGGAGUGCACUUGAGUGUUGAGUGGUGGUGUUGUAUGAAUGGGGAGAAAAGCAUGGUGGAGCAAAAAGAAAAUUUGUGUAAUGAUACUGAUGACUUUGUAUGUUAUUAUGAGUUGUGGACAUCAAUGUAUCAAUGUGAUUGGAAUAUUGUAUAUUUACAUAAAUCUCGAUUUCGACA